CAGCCGCCGCGGUAAUACGGAGGGUGCAAGCGUUAAUCGGAAUUACUGGGCGUAAAGCGCACGCAGGCGGUCUGACAAGUCAGAUGUGAAAUCCCCGGGCUUAACCUGGGAACUGCAUUUGAAACUGUCAGGCUGGAGUCUUGUAGAGGGGGGUGGAAUUCCAGGUGUAGCGGUGAAAUGCGUAGAGAUCUGGAGGAAUACCGGUGGCGAAGGCAGCCAUCUGGCCUAAUACUGACGCUGAGGUACGAAAGCAUGGGGAGCAAACAGGAUUAGAUACCCCGGUAGUCCCUGUCUCUUAUAC
rnacentral:rRNA from 1 species